rnacentral:rRNA from 1 species
GUGCCAGCCGCCGCGGUAAUACGAAGGGGGCUAGCGUUGCUCGGAAUCACUGGGCGUAAAGCGCACGUAGGCGGAUUCCUAAGUCGGUGGUGAAAUCCUGGAGCUCAACUCCAGAACUGCCUCCGAUACUGGGAGUCUACGAGUCCGGGAGAGGUGAGUGGAACUCCGAGUGUAGAGGUGAAAUUCGUAGAUAUUCGGAAGAACACCAGUGGCGAAGGCGGCUCACUGGCCCGGUACUGACGCUGAGGUGCGAAAGCGUGGGGAGCAAACAGGAUUAGAUACCCCGGUAGUCC